rnacentral:lncRNA from 1 species
GUACAAGAGAACUCUGCAUUUGUCUUCUGCCCACAACUUCGUUGAAGAAGUGGAGAGGCCAAGCAACUCCAAGGCUGUUUGGAAGGAGAGCUGGGCUCUGCCUCCUGGGAGAGUUGGAGGACAUUUCUUCUCCGCGGAGUGUGAAGGGAGGACUGCCCUAUUCCUUGUCUGCUAGUGCUUGCCCCUGGGAGCCACUACAACAUGGCAGAGAGAGGGACAACCACCAUGUCCCCUUGCCCGUGGCUGCAUCAAGUGCCGAUUUAACUCAGCACUUCCAGGAAGCCCCUUUCUCACCCUGGCCCCAGGCUCGUUCCUGGGGAAGAUUCAGUGAUUGGGGGUCUUACUGAAGGGGCUCUUGAGUGCUGAGAGCUCCACGAGAGGAAGAAGAUGCCUGGGUGCUGAGUGAAGAAACUGACAUGGCACACCUGCCUUCCACCAGGCAGGGCUGCUGGGAACACGGUGAGCAAACCAUGGGCUGCAGCAGAAGACGUGAAAAGGGAAAGGAGCGAGGUUGCUGCUCUUCUCGUGGGACCAGCUCCGGGUGCUGUCAAAACAAGCCUGAGAUAAGGGCGGGCGAGGGGUGGCAGGCUCAGAGAUUAGCGCUGCUACUGCCCAACCUGCUCAGAAAGUUUCAUUCUUUUAGCAAAGUUCCUGGCAGCUGUGACCACUUAAACGGCUUUUGCUUCCAUUAAACAGGAGACUCAUUAAGUCACGGAGCUUAAAACAGCUCUAAAGGGCCCAGUAGUCAUUCCUCAGUGAAAAGUGCUAAUUCAUUGCUUGGUAGAU